UGAGGAAAGAGGGGGCAGCGUGCGAGGCGAAGGUCGACAAAAGAAAGAAGGAGAGAGUGGAAGCGGUGGCGCGGAGAGCUUGCGUGGCGAGCAGCAGAACGGAGCACCGGCCGAUCUGCGCAGCGACGUGAAGACAGUCACUAGCUAUAGCUUCAUCGCCGUGUGUGAGAACUUGUUCUGGCAAGAUAGCCUCCGGCUAGCUCUUCGCAAACAAGUCACCGGCACAGGAGCGUAAUUAGUAGAGACGUGAAGACUGUCGCUUGAGGAUGGCUGUUUUUUUUUCACUUUUGUCAGUUCUUGGUUUCCCCCCUCUUUAUCUACUUGUGUUCUUUUCCGUUCUGCUAUUCAUCCACCCCACAUACAUAUUUCGGCCUUUUGUGACUACUAGUAACAUCGCACGUGCAACACACGUGUAAUGGAAUGAAUUUUUUCAUUCAUCAGGUUGCCAACUGAUUUAUAUGGGAUGAAAACAAUGAAUAUCUAGAACCUCAUUGUAUGACACAUGCAUGUGCUCAUUCUUAGUUGAGGUAAUCAUCUUUCUUUCAGCAAAUACACAAGUAAUAUGUUAAGCCUAGCUAGAAAUGAGAUCAAGAAAGUUGAAAAACAUGAAACCCAUGAUAGGAUCAGAGAAUAGAAAAGCAGAGAUGAACUAGUCAUGAUAGAAGAGCAACAUCAAGACGGAUUGCUGGAUGAUGUAGAACUUGAUUUAAUACUCUCUUCACAUCAUGCAAAGCACGUAUCAAUGUAAAGUUAAAUAGAAUACAGUUUGGUGAAGUUUUGAAAAA